AGCGAACGCUGGCGGCAGGCCUAACACAUGCAAGUCGAACGAACCUUUCGGGGUUAGUGGCGGCCGGGUGAGUAACCCGUGGGAACGUUCCUUUAGGUUCGGAAUAACUCAGGGAAACGUGUGCUAAUACCGAAUGUGCCCUUCGGGGGAAUGAUUUAUCGCCUUUAGAGCGGCCCGCGUCUGAUUAGCUAGUUGGUUGAGGUAAUGGCUCACCAAGGCGACGAUCAGUAGCUGGUCUGAGAGGAUGAUCAGCCACAUUGGGACUGAGACACGGCCCAAACUCCUACGGGAGGCAGCAGUGGGGAAUCUUGCGCAAUGGGCGAAAGCCUGACGCAGCCAGGCCGCGUGAAUGAUGAAGGUCUUAGGAUUGUAAAAUUCUUUCAACGGGGACGAUAAUGACGGUACCCGGAGAAGAAGCCCCGGCUAACUUCGUG
rnacentral:rRNA from 1 species